AUUGAACGCUGGCGGCAGGCCUAACACAUGCAAGUCGAGCGGAUGAAGGGAGCUUUCUCCUGUAUUCAGCGGCGGACGGGUGAGUAAUGCCUAGGAAUCUGCCUGGUAUUGGGGGAUAACGUCCGGUAACGGGCGCUAAUACCGCAUACGUCCUGAGGGUGAAAGUGGGGGAUCUUCGGACCUCACGCUAUCUGAUGAGCCUGGGACGGAUUAGCUAGUUGGUUGGGUAAAGGCCUACCAAGGCGACGAUCCGUAACUGGUCUGAGAGGAUGAUCAGUCACACUGGAACUGAGACACGGUCCAGACUCCUACGGGAGGCAGCAGUAGGGAAUAUUGGACAAUGGGCGAAAGCCUGAUCCAGCCAUGCCGCGUGUGUGAAGAAGGUCUUCGGAUUGUAAAGCACUUUAAGUUGGGAGGAAGGACAGUAAGUUAAUACAUUGCUGUUUUGACGUUACCAACAGAAAAAGCACCGGCUAACUACGUG
rnacentral:rRNA from 1 species